rnacentral:rRNA from 1 species
UAUAAAGUCUAAUCUGCCCUAUGAGGAUUUAAAUGGCCGCGGUACUUUGACCGUGCAAAGGUAGCAUAAUAAUUAGUUUUUUAAUUGAAAGCUGGAAUGAAUGAUUGGACGAGAAAAUAACUGUCUCAAUUUAAUUUAAUUAGAAUUUUAUUUUUAAGUAAGAAAGCUUAAAUAAGAUUAAAAGACGAGAAGACCCUAUAGAGUUUGAUAGUCUAUUGAUUAUUAGUUUUUUAGUAUGGUUAUAUUGAUAAUUAAUAUAUUAUUUUAUUGGGGUGAUAGAGAGAUUAAAUUAACUUUCUUUAAUAUUAGAUCAUUAAUGAAUGAUUUUAUGAUCCAUUUUUUAUGAUUAAAAGAUUAAGUUACCUUAGGGAUAACAGCGUAAUUUUUUUUUAGAGUUCUUAUCGAAAGAAAAGAUUGCGACCUCGAUGUUGGAUUAAAAUUAAUGUUUGGUGUAGGAGCUAAAUAAUUAGGUCUGUUCGACCUUUAAAAUUUUACA